rnacentral:rRNA from 1 species
GGAGGAUUAGGGUUYGAUUCCGGAGAGGGAGCCUGAGAAACGGCUACCACAUCUAAGGAAGGCAGCAGGCGCGUAAAUUACCCAAUCCUGAUUCAGGGAGGUAGUGACAAGAAAUAACGGACUGAGGCCAUUGGCUUCAGGAUUGCAAUGAGCCGAAUUUACACCCCUUAGCGAGGAUCGAUUGGAGGGCAAGUCUGGUGCCAGCAGCCGCGGUAAUUCCAGCUCCAAUAGCGUAUAUUAAAGUUGUUGCAGUUAAAAAGCUCGUAGUUGGAUUUCUGGGAGGGUGCCAAUGUCCGCCGACGUGCGUGCGCAGCGGCGCCCUUCCAUCCUUCUGUUAACGCCUCUUGGGAUUCAUUUCCUGGUGGCGGGCUCAGAUAUUUUACCUUGAGAAAAUUAGAGUGUUUCAGGCAGGCUUCGCCGGAAUACAUUAGCAUGGAAUAAUGGAAUAGGACUGAGGUCUCUUUGUUGGUUUGAGGGAUUUCAGUAAUGAUUAAUAGGGAUAGUUGGGGGCAUUAGUAUUUAACUGUCAGAGGUGGAAUUNCUCGGAUUUGUUAAAGACUAACCUAUGCGAAAGCAUUGCCAAGGA